ensembl:lncRNA
UACAUACAUAAGGAACGGUAAGAGGUGAUCGUGCUUGGAGUGCAGCUGUGCUCAGAGAGACAGUUACACAGAAAUUCGGGCUUCUUAACUACUCUAACAGACUCUAUAAUAAGUAGGCUCGUCCAUCGGUUAUAAGGAGUGCUGAGGAAGGGUGUUGGCCACACUGAAAUUAAGAAAGAAGGAAGAAAAAGUGGGAGGGCAAACUCCCAAACUGCACAGAGUAUGAAAUAGUCCCAACCCAUGGGACCAAAAGAACCCAGAGCUGAAGAGAGCAGUUGUGUACCCAGCGCAGCGCUUUGCCCCACCGAGCAGCACAGCCAUUCCUUCCCUGGGAGACCUGCUGGGAACCGCAGGCAGGAGGUGCUGCCUGCCCUCGUGUCCGAUCACUCGCUGACCUCACGCAUCGGGCUGCACCGCGAAGAAAUUACCUUUCUUAAAUCUACAGAAGGGUUUUGGAUUAUCUCCUUUCCAGCACAACAAGCAAAACUCAGGUCUUGUGAUGAACUUAUCAAUCUCCAUUAAUUAUAUCAGCAGUGUGGUGAAAUCAUCUAUUCUGUCAUCUCUGGAAUAUUGCUUGGCUUCAGGUUUGGCUCUCUCAAUCCGAUUUGUAGAUACUUAUUCGUGCACUUGUGACCUCCUGAUUGGAUUAUUGGAAUUCUUUGCUGACAGCUCUUCCUGAUAAGGCCUUACACAGGAUUCAAUUAAUCCAAAUGCAGUAGUGAAGAAAUUCUGUUAAGCAACCGCUCUGCUGUGAUCCAUACAGCCCUGCACUCGCCCGAUGGGCGGCACUUCCAGCAGCUGCAGAGGCAGUGCAUGCUGCACUGGGAGCCAGCAAACAUCUCGCUCUUCAGCACGCUUAUCUCUUUCAUCUGCCUUCUUCCUGACUCCACAGCAAGAUGUGCUGACCUCUCGGGGGCUCCUAAUCUCUUUAUCUACUGACCUCCCACUUACUAUUUGUCCUAAGUAUUGAAAUCAUUUAAUCCCCAAUAUCACUGAGAUGAAGAUGUAGAAUUUCCCCCUUCGUACUUUGCAGUGUGGUACGCAACUCUGCAGUCUAUGAACUUCGUGUUUUGCAGCAAGUACCCCCUCAUUAUUUACUAUACUUCCCUAUGGGCAGCUGCGAUCACAGCGGUCUUCCCUUUCCUCAUUCCUUGGCCUGGAGGACAGAAACCACCCACCAGAAGUGUCUGCAGGGCCUUCUAAUAGAUCUGUAUUCAAACUGCAGUACUGGAGCCAGGAUCCUCUGGAGUUUCCCUAAAUCCUCCACUUACUGUAACAGACAAAGAGCCUUAAUAGGAUCCUAAGGCUUUUAAGGCACUUAGAAAAGGUGAAUACACAAAAAACUCAGAAAUCUGAAGAUGUUAAAGAAAAAUUUUAAAAAUUAAAUUUUAAAAAUAAGACUCCAUUCCACACUCUUGAGAUUGACUGAAUAAUACACGACAAACUCCAGCCAUUAUCUCCAGGCAGGAGAAGCUCGAGCAGCAGCAUGCACUGGGGCACUGUGAUCAGACGUGCUGGACAAACCUUCCUGAGCAAUCAAACCCUGAAGGGUGAAGUUGGUACAGGCACCCAAAAACCAACUGUCUGAUGUGAGGGCAGUAUUCACGUGGGCUUCCAUCGAGAAAAGGAAGAAGAGAUGCUGGAUGACACCCACAGAUGGGAGCUGCUCUCCCCGGCAUGGCAGCUGAUGCUGAAUGCAUGCACGGAUCUCAGAAACCAAUAAUGAAGUUCUCUCAUUUUCCACAUUAUUCUAAAAAUAUCUUUAGUCAUUAUUUUUAAUUACCUGUUAAAGCAGCAGGUGUGACAGAUUUGCAUCACAUUUUCAGCCUACUAAAUCGUCCCGUUUUGCAGACAUACACAGAAGGCAAAGCCUCUAAAACUCUGUGUGUUUUGCACAGAACACAGAUGCUUGUUACUCACAGCAUCAAUGGGACGAAGAGACCUGGUUCUUAACUGACACAAAACAAAUCCAGACCUCCUCAGUCUUAUUUUCAGUGGGUGGGAGAGAUUGGCAAGACGAACUGCUGCACCCGUUUGUACAGAACAAAGACAAGAAGCCGGAGGUUACCCACACUGUGGGCAGCCGCGUGUCCCACCGCACCGCUUGCGCACAACCUGGGCAAAUAGUUUUAAAGUUCCAGAGCCCGCAGUGGGUGUGGAUGAGGGGACCCCCUGAACCUUCCCAGUAAAUCCUGAGGCCUAUCGAACAUCUAUCAGAACUCCGCAGUUGCUUUGCCAAGGGUUUGUGAUAGUUGGAAUUUAGGUAACUUCUGAAAAUUAGGACUGGAUAAUGAAGUUCCCACGAGGAAUUUGUUGCUGCUGUUCAGGAGCAUUAUCUAGCACAGAGUUCAAGGGCCUGGCCUGCUGGCACGUAAAGAAACUAACAUUUCACUCCAGAUUGCAGCUGAGUAUGUUUUACACUAGAGAAAAGCAAGCUUGUGUCAACCCAGUGCAAUGCAGCCCCCAGCGCUGUGCUGCAGGAGGGCUGGGGGGGACUUUACAUGAAAGCAAAGCAGACAAACUGACUGAGGUGCUCAGUUCCUGCAGGGCUGCACUGCCUUUCACGAGGGCUAACCAACGGACACAGCCACACACGGCACCUCUUCCAUUGCUCAAGUCAGUGCAGGUUCAGAAGCUCCCAGCACCUCCAGAUGCAAAGUGCACCUCUGAGCCUGCAGUCCAGAAUGGGAACAUGGAUGGAGUGCUAACACCCACAAAAGCAGCACGCAUUGUGGCCUGUUUUCCACAAGCAAGAUGUUCCCAGCCAGAGGAUUAUAAGUGCCAUGCUUCGUUACAUUUCAAACAAUAAAAAUGAAUGACCCAUCUCCAGUGAGUGUCAUAUUUCUGGAAGGGAGGAUAGCCCGUGUGCUAAGGAACAUGUCCUAAAUCUGUCUGCUCCAUUAACCUUUGAAAGUUGGAAUAGUUCUAAGGUUUGAGAAGCAAUUAAUAUCCUGUAGGCAAUAACAUUCUUGAAUAGACGACCCAGGAUUUCAGUUACACCUGAGCAGAAAGUAAUACCUCACCAAGAGCUCUCAAAGAACUGAAAACAAAAAACCACCCCAAAAAUCUCAUUUUGAAGUGCAGUGAGAGGUCAUAAAAACUGUGGAUUACUUUAGUUAGCCAUUUGUAACAGGUAAAUGCAGGAGUGUGACUUCCUGGCGUGGGGGGAAAGGUCUGUAUGACUUUUCCAGGGUUAUGAAUACAUAAAUAACAAUGGUCACUGCAGAAGGACAGAAGCUUUGGGAUUAACCUUUCCACACAUUUCUAAGUAACCUGCUGACCCAGUAAAAGAUUUUUGUGUUUGUUCUCCACAUCAAUCAUACCUAUAGGAGAUGUAAACAUUUCUCCAUCUACCUCGGAAUGGAAACCAGAAAAUAAUCACCCAUCCUUCACAAUUAGUUGUUUACACUCAAGCUGCCCUUCAGUAAAUGCAUGGCUAUAGGAUUUUUGUGUAAGAAAUUAAUGGCUUUACCCAUGCCACGUAUUACUGCCAUUCCAGAAAUGAAGCCAUUCUACCCAGGUUUACCAAGAGCUCCCUCAGUGCUCCAAGUAUGAGAGAUCACUUCCCCACCAUGGAAUCAAGAUUGGUUUAAGCUGUUCGCUUCUCCAAGAGAGGAGAAGAAGCGUCCACCCCACUGUGCCCACAUCCCAGAAUGACUCCCAUGUACGCCCAUGUGCCCAUGAAGGGCACCUCCCCAGCCCACAGCUACCACUGGCAGCCCAUGCAGCAGGGCCAUCAAUAACAGGCCUGAGCAUUAAGCAGCACAGAACUGAGCAUUUCAGAUUAAGUGCAUUCCAGAACCCUUUUCUAGCGGGGAAUUCAAGCUGUGAUGCACAUGAUAUUAUUUUCCUUCUUAAGUUCUACAACACAUGAGUUUGCCUGACAAGAAAAGAGACCCAGAGGAUUCAGGCUGGGUCAGCACCUGGAGUUAAGAGAGAACUGACAGCGAUUUCCCACGCAAGUUUUCUGACAAAAAUAAAACUCCUUGUUCCAAAGAGGUUAAAUCAGAUCUGUAACCAACAUCCCAGAAAGACAAACUGAUUUCCACUGGCAUUAGGAUGGGCCUUUGUUGCGUACCAGCUGUUGAGUGAGAACACAGUUAACAUCUUCCUUCAAGACACUGAGCCCGUCUUGGAACCUUCCUCUGCUGCACACCUUUCCCCCGUGGCAGAGGGAUGCAGAGAAGUGCAGAAGUUGCCAACACCGAAAAUCAGCAGUGCCUUCAGGUUCACACAACACCGGAAUUCCCAGGCCUUUAGCGUUUACUUCCUGCCCUAUCACGGUGGAGAACGAUUUCAGCCUGUCCCAAUGAGUCACAAAGUAAAGUUUUAGCAUAGAUAUUUGUCAAGGAGACCAAUAAAAUGAAAUAAAUAGGGUAACAAAGUGGGAAUUAAAUACAGUGGGGAAAACAAGAGCAACGAUCUUUGCUUUAAAAGCACAAAGCUGGAUUGCUGUUUAGUAAAGCAGAUGCUUUUAUCAAUGUCCAGAGAACAGCUGAAGUGGGGCAGUAAUUGGCAGGGACUGACCUCGGGCUGAUCUGAACAACGAAAUUCAAAGGAAAUUGUGCCUCCACGAAGCACUGCUCUGUUACUGACGCGCCUUUACCCCAAGCACACAACUAUUCUGAGAAAAAAAAAGCAGAAACUGUACCAUGAAAGAAACAGAUGUUUUUUGCAGGUAAACACUUCAACAACGUCAAAACAAACUUCCGGGUUUUGCUGUUUUUCCCCAGAAAAUGCACGCACUGCCAGAAGCUCCCACAAGUUAAAUGGCAGAACGGUCUUCAAAAGGUAUCGGUACCGAAGCUCGCUGCUAAUGAGCUGCAGAUCUGCAUCGUAACUGACCAUCCCGAUUUCCACCCACAAAAGCAGGAUGUGGGCAGUAAGAACAAAUACCACCGCAGAGCCAAAAAAUAAUAAUAAAGGAGAUCUGCAGAGUUGAGAGUACAGUAAGCAACAUAAAUACCAGUCUAAUUGCUGCAGACACUGCGUGAAAGGAGCAGCCGCUGCCCCGCACCGCACAGUGUGUGACAGCAGCGGCCGCCGUACCGCCUCCCAGAGAUGGCCGUCUGCAGCUCUCGCCUAUCGCUGCCGAGCGGUGACACACACACACCACACACACCACACACACACACCACACACACACGUGCACGUGCAAAGGGCAGGGGGGAAAAGCGACGCGAGCCCAAGGAGUUAACGGCCACGCCGCCCUGCUGGGCCGCCCCAGCACUCUAUCACAAGCACUGUCAGGGGCCCAUGCUGGGUGGCUAAUUAAAACAAUUACAAAGACAAAGCAGGUAUCAAUAGCAUUCCAAGCAGCAAAGAAAGAGAUGAAGUAGUGAAGAUUUAAAUCAUCAGCAGCUGAGCUCUGCGGCCCCACGGCACGGCGGGGUCCGCCUCCGAGCCGCCGAAAGCUCCCCGUGCGGACCCGGGGUGGUUUUGUGUUCGGCUGUACGAGGUUUCGUGGUUUGAGGGGCCGUGGCAUUUGCUCGUUUUAUACACAUACACACUUAAUGUUUAGUGCCAGCAAUUGCAGAGAUAAAAUAGAAACGCUUCGGUUUUCAUUCUGGCUUUUCACAGACAAGGUGGAUAAACGGAUGGCAAAGGAGCGGCUGUGACAGCGAGGGCAGUCCCUCAGAGCCUGCCGGAGGGUCUCCCAAACCGUUUGGUGAACGCAAUUGCGCAGCGCAGCCUGAGCGGGGAAAGCCGUGCAGCGCUGUGCAGACACACCGCCCUUACCUUCCCGAGGAGCAUCCCCAGCAGCGGCCGCUUUCCUCGCGCACGGAAAUAAAGGCGCUUCUCCUGAAGGGCAG